CGGCCAGACUCCUACGGGAGGCAGCAGUGAGGAAUAUUGGUCAAUGGGCGCGAGCCUGAACCAGCCAAGUCGCGUGAGGGAAGACGGUCCUAUGGAUUGUAAACCUCUUUUGUCGGGGGGCAAAAGACGCCACGUGUGGCGUUCCGAGAGUACCCGAAGAAAAAGCAUCGGCUAACUCCGUGCCAGCAGCCGCGGUAAUACGGAGGAUGCGAGCGUUAUCCGGAUUUAUUGGGUUUAAAGGGAGCGUAGGCCGGUCUUUAAGCGUGCCGUGAAAUUUUGUGGCUCAACCAUGAGAGUGCGGCGCGAACUGGAGACCUUGAGUGCGCGGAAGGCAGGCGGAAUUCGUGGUGUAGCGGUGAAAUGCUUAGAUAUCACGAAGAACCCCGAUUGCGAAGGCAGCAUGCCGGCUUCCGACUGGCGCUGAAGCACGAAAGCGUGGGGAUCGAACAGGAUUAGAUACCCCAGUA
rnacentral:rRNA from 1 species